rnacentral:rRNA from 1 species
GGAAAAAGGGGGGGGGGGGGGGGAGGCGACGNGGUGUUUUUNCCCCCCNCGCCUCUUGUGGGGGGCCCGGCUGCCUUUUUUCCCCCUUCUUCUUCUUCUCAUCCUCAUCUUUUNCCUGCUUUCCCACGUGUGUGGGAGAGUGGAGGAGGAAGUGUGUGUGUUUGGAGGAAGAAGGUGCAGAGGGGGAAAUAUCGUCAGUGUUNGUGUGCGGCUGCAGGUGUGUUGGUCACGGNUCUCACAUNGANGCCA